rnacentral:rRNA from 1 species
AGUGGGGAAUAUUGGACAAUGGGCGCAAGCCUGAUCCUGCCAUGCCGCGUGUGUGAAGAAGGCCUUCGGGUUGUAAAGCACUUUUGUCCGGAAAGAAAAGCUUCGGGUUAAUAACCCGGAGUUAUGACGGUACCGGAAGAAUAAGCACCGGCUAACUUCGUGCCAGCAGCCGCGGUAAUACGAAGGGUGCAAGCGUUACUCGGAAUUACUGGGCGUAAAGCGUGCGUAGGUGGUUUGUUAAGUCUGAUGUGAAAGCCCUGGGCUCAACCUGGGAACUGCAUUGGAAACUGGCUGACUAGAGUGCGGUAGAGGGGUGUGGAAUUCCCGGUGUAGCAGUGAAAUGCGUAGAUAUCGGGAGGAACAUCUGUGGCGAAGGCGACACCCUGGACCAGCACUGACACUGAGGCACGAAAGCGUGGGGAGCAAACAGGAUUAGAUACCCUGGUAGUCCACGCCCUAAACGAUGCGAACUGGAUGUUGGGGGCAACUUGGCCCUCAGUAUCGAAGCUAACGCGUUAAGUUCGCCGCCUGGGAAGUACGGUCGCAAGACUGAAACUCAAAGGAAUUGACGGAAGC